rnacentral:rRNA from 1 species
UGUGAACUCGAAGAGUAGGGCGGGACACGUGGUAUCCUGUCUGAAUAUGGGGGGACCAUCCUCCAAGGCUAAAUACUCCUGACUGACCGAUAGUGAACCAGUACCGUGAGGGAAAGGCGAAAAGAACCCCGGCGAGGGGAGUGAAAAAGAACCUGAAACCGUGUACGUACAAGCAGUGGGAGCACCUUCGGGUGUGACUGCGUACCUUUUGUAUAAUGGGUCAGCGACUUAUAUUCUGUAGCAAGGUUAACCGUAUAGGGGAGCCGCAGGGAAACCGAGUCUUAACUGGGCGUUAAGUUGCAGGGUAUAGACCCGAAACCCGGUGAUCUAGCCAUGGGCAGGUUGAAGGUUGGGUAACACUAACUGGAGGACCGAACCGACUAAUGUUGAAAAAUUAGCGGAUGACUUGUGGCUGGGGGUGAAAGGCCAAUCAAACCGGGAGAUAGCUGGUUCUCCCCGAAAGCUAUUUAGGUAGCGCCUCGUGAAUUCAUCUUCGGGGGUAGAGCACUGUUUCGGCUAGGGGGUCAUCCCGACUUACCAACCCGAUGCAAACUACGAAUACCGAAGAAUGUUAUCACGGGAGACACACGGCGGGUGCUAACGUCCGUCGUGAAGAGGGAAACAACCCAGACCGCCAGCUAAGGUCCCAAAGUCAUGGUUAAGUGGGAAACGAUGUGGGAAGGCACAGACAGCCAGGAUGUUGGCUUAGAAGCAGCCAUCAUUUAAAGAAAGCGUAAUAGCUCACUGGUCGAGUCGGCCUGCGCGGAAGAUGUAACGGGGCUAAACCAUGCACCGAAGCUGCGGCAGCGACACUAUGUGUUGUUGGGUAGGGGAGCG